CCAACUUUUCCUUUUUUAUUCCAUUACCAACUUUCCCCUUUUUUAUUUUUUAUUUUAUUAUUCCAUUACCAGCCUUCCCCCAACUUUAAACAAAAAGAACAGAGAGCUUUCCUGCUCUCUCCCCAUUUCCUUUCUCUUUUAUUUUCUGCUAGGGUUUCAAAGAAACCCAUCAUUGCCGCCCUUCAACCGCCGCGCCACCUCUGCACUCGGUGGUCGGCGAUACACCAAAAUGGGCUCCUUUAGCUCUCCCAUUUUUUACUUGUUGGAGGCUAGUUCCAAAAACGAAAAGACAAGGGUUCAACCCCCUUUUUAGACUCAACCACGCCGAACGGAGGGGAAGGUUCCGAUAACACGGCGACGGGACCGGAUCUGGUGAGAAUCCUUCCUCUUUCCUUUUAUUUUUUCUUUUUUGUAUCUUUGUUUAAUAGAUUUGUAUAAAAAAUAAAAGAAAUAUUAAAGAAGCAAGAAAACGAAAAAUGAAAAUAAAGAGAACAAAAUCGGAGAUCAACCUUCUGUGUGUUUUUUGUUUGAUUCCUUGAAAAAUACGCGAGUGAUACAAUUUUUGGAUCCCCUUUUUUACUAUGAAAAAUUGAAGGCUUUAUAGCCAAAAACCAUACAUUUUCUACCUAUUUCUUUGCUCCAAUUGCAGGUGUUGAAGUUGUGGAGAACGCGGGCCGUGAAACAUGGGCGAAAACAUGGAGCGGGGUAUACGGGGAUCCUGUUUGGAGUGCUGACGUGGGGGUUGAGUUUGUAGUCUGCUGAAAAUUUUUGAGAUUGUGGGCUGGUAGGGUUAGUUUAAGUUGUGGGCUGAUGGGGGUUUUAAUUUGGGCCAUGUAUUAUUAAUUGGACUAUUUUAUUAUUAUUUUUUUGGAUUUUUUUUAUUUCGGCUCGGGCUAAGGUUGAAAUUAGGUUUGGUUUUAUUGUGCCCCGGUCAAAAUUUGGGCCUUACAAGCUUCAUCAACAUAACAAAGACUUUUAGCCUCAACAUCAAUAGAAUAUAUGGCAUGUUGACAAUUGCCUCUAUCACAACUCAAGUAUAAUAAAUUUGGAGCAAUUGCAAACAGUUAAUAUGAUAAGGAAAUCAAUACCAAGUGGUCCAAAAUGGUGGCAAAAAAUAGGCAAAAAAGCCGAAAUCCACCAAACUAGAAAGGACAACGACAAAACAAUUCUUAAAAUUACUUGCAAAAACAAGACUACAUACAUAAGCAAGAUUAAAAAGCAUGCUACAAGAGUGACAAAAAAUUUAUAAAAAGGGAG
rnacentral:lncRNA from 1 species